rnacentral:rRNA from 1 species
GGAUGAGUAAAGUGGCGCACGGGUGAGUAACGCGUGGAUAAUCUGCCCUUUAGUUAGGGAUAACUCAUCGAAAGGUGGGCUAAUACCUGAUAAUGUUGUUCUUACUUUGGUAGAACAACCAAAGGGGGCCUCUAUUUAUAAGCUCUCGCUAAAAGAUGAGUCCGCGUACCAUUAGCUAGUUGGUAGGGUAAAAGCCUACCAAGGCAACGAUGGUUAGCUGGUCUGAGAGGAUGAUCAGCCACACUGGAACUGAGACACGGUCCAGACUCCUACGGGAGGCAGCAGUGAGGAAUCUUGCGCAAUGGGGGAAACCCUGACGCAGCAACGCCGCGUGAGUGAGGAAGGUCUUCGGAUCGUAAAGCUCUGUCGGGUGGAAAGAAAGGGUUUGGAAGCCAAUACCCUUUUUUGACGGGUCCCACCAG